ACAAGAUUUUGCUUCUUAAUUUAAACAAAAGAAUGGCAAGAAAAUAACACACAUUAAGAUAAACAGACUAGAUAAACACAAUACAUAUUCAGCUCAAACAGACUAGAUAAACAGAAAGUGUAUAUAAUAAUGGCAGGAAACAACACACACGUUAAGAUCCUCUUUGAAUGGGUGACUGUAUUACAUUACAUAUUCAGCUCAGACUAGAUAAACCUACUAAUUAUGCAAGAAUUCUAGAUAUGGCUAAGGAACUGAAACUUCCCCAGGAUUUGGGAUUGAUCUAUCUGUGUGCACUAGAAUGAUGGAGGGCUAAAGCUGAAACAGAAAACAGAAGAUAGUUCUUGAGGCUGCACCGCCUGGAUAAUACCACAGUACCUUGUAGUACUUUGAAGUUCAUCUCUACAAUAUCCAUACCAUGCGAUGCAACUACUGAGUACUGAAGUAGAAGAAAAACUGCGCAAAUACAAAUCAAGGGUCCUUACCUCAGUUCAAGACACCCACGGAUCAAAUCCUCGGUACACAAUGUCACCACCAUCAUCUUGUACUGCAGGCCUAAUGCGAGUCUCCAGCAAUUCUUUGAUCAUUGCAACAAUCUCUGUAUCAUCCUGUAAAAUCUCAUGUAAGAAUG